CCGUCACCAGGUGUGUGUUAAGGGAGGAUCGGACACGCGUGUGCCAGGGAGGAUGCUGCCACCACGCUCUUCGAAGAUGUGCGGAGUCGUCGUGCCUGUACGGUUGACACCUCUACCACCGUCGCUGCCUUCGAGGAGGAUUCGUGCCUGCAUCUUAAUGUUCGCCAAGCCCAUUACAUCGCUGGUUCAGGACACACAACAAAACAAAUCUGAACCUCAGCGACAUAUUUGCUGGGAGAGAAGGAGGAUAAAAAGUGCUGGUCCUCUUCACAGGAUAGGUACAGACUUGGCUAAGCGAUUACUGCUGCUGCGGUUCAUCUACAAUGAUUUUGGACAUUGAUUCUUGUUUUACCCUUAUUAUUACCAUUUGCUAACUUAACCAUUUCCAUCUCUCAUGUUAAUUCUGAAGACCUUUUAUGUAUCAUGUAUCCAAGCAGGCUGCAUGUGAGGUGAAUCAAGGGUAUUUUCUGAUUUUUUUAUGUUGCCGCUUACUGAUCUUACGACAUGGAGAGGAGAGGCCAAGUAGCAGCAAGCAUGCAGCUGUGUCAUGCAAACAAACUGAUACUGCAGAAAGUCACUGAUUGUACAAAACCAGAAAAACAAAUUGCAGCGCAAGCAUGCAAAGAGACAAUUGCGCGAAUCAAACACAUAUUCAAAUAAUAAGGCAGUGAGAGGCUUUAUAUUAGGCAGUGUACUGCAACAAGGUGCCUCCCUCCAUCAUCAUUCCAUUCUUCUCCUGUUUCCUAUCUGUCAGCCGCACCUACAACCGGUGCCCAAAUCUAGCUCGACAAUUGACGGCGGCUACAUCUGUUGUGGCCGGCAGCAAGGCAAGCCCUCCUUCUAAACCAUGUAUGUUGAUUUCAAAUAGUAGAACUAAUUCAUACUUUGGAGUUGUUUGUUAAUCAGGCUUCCAUGGACGUUGAUUUCCAUUAAACAAUAUUUUGCGAACUUCUUGUUCUCUGCAAAUUUUGGAUGCCGCCGGUCAGUGUGACGCCCAAAUCCUGGUGGCAAGUCUUUUUCUAAUUGAGAGAAUUAUUUAGGUGCUAAUUCAAACAGCAUGUCUAUAGGAUCCCGGUCUGGAAAACUAGAUGGUGUAUGGAUUCAGAGAUGAACACGACGAACGAUAGAAGGUCGAUUUGGAUUAUUCUUGGUCCAUAACUUUCAAUUAUUCCACUGCCACACAACUGUGCUUGUGCUGGCAGGGAGAGGAGGAGAAGUAAGGCGUUGUGGGCAGGGACUGGCUGUGGGUACAAGAAGGCCAGAUAUGAGAUGGUGGAAAGGAUGCACGCAGGAGAAGAGAACAGACUGCAACGGAAGGCAGUUUGAGAUGUAGUAGUGGACGCCUCUUCCAUGAUAUUCAGCAAUCUGCGUGUUCAGUGAUGCCGCACACGUCCUCUCAUCUCGUCACGAACGGCCUGGAUGUGGCAGCUGCCGUCAACAUCCCAACCGUCACCAGCACGACGUGUUGAAUGACAUUGGCAUCGUCUCACUGGGGCAGCAGCUCAACACCGGCAUUAUUCUGAGAACAAUUGUCACUGAAUUGCUUUCAAGGCGGAUGUUCCAUAGACAAACAAGCAUGCAAUCAACACUGCAUGAUUUCAAUUGGUUUCCAAUCCUGGAAAGAAGGAACGAUAUGAGCUAAAAGAUGCAGAAAGAGAGGAUUAGGCCAGCAGAUUGUUAUCAAGGAGAACAUUGAGCUAUGAGGGUGUUUUUUCGGGCAACACCGGCGAUGGUCUCAGCAGCUAUAUGAUGGUGAACUGUAGCUGUCGUAAUAUUCUGAGAAAUAUAUUAUGAUUAAUUUUUACUUACCUAUCCGAUUUUUUUCAUUGCGAUGAUCUGAUAGGCCCCAUAUAGGUGUCUGGAUUGUAAUAGGUAUUUUUCUGGGUUAAGAAGGAAGAAUGUUUCGGGUGUUCAUUAAGAUUAUUCUUGAUUGGUGAACUGC